UGGGGAAAUUGUUUAAUUACAAAUCUGAAAUUUCAGUUUUUAUCCUUUUAAACUGGUGUACCACCAAAAAUUGCAUGAAUUGCUAUGCAAACCCAAUUUCAACCACCCAAAAGCACUGGCAAUGCAAACAAGACAAUGUUUAAAAAUGUUUUAUUAAUAUCAGUUGAUCAUUGGACCCAACGACCUAAAAUGUUUUACAACUUAAUAAACCUCAUCUAAAGUUAUUUCAACUAUCACCAUUUCUACAUUAAUCAAUUUGACAAAAUAUUAUAAACAAAUCAAAUAAGCGGGCUUUCCACUCUGGGUUAAUCUCCAACCUCUUUUUUUAGCUUCGACUGUUGUUGCAUAUUAAAGUAUGCCAAAUUGAACUACUGAAAUUGAUGGGCAAAUCAUUUUACUGCAUUCCAGAAGAAAAUUUUGUUCAAUGGUUUAAUAAUCGGGGACGCUUUUUGUGUAUGUUGUAAUCAAAUCAAAUCAAUCUUCUUUCUGAGUUUUUUAUUUAAUUUCCAGUUUUUAUAGUACUUUCUAAAUUGUAUCUAUACAUCACUAUUGAAUGCCCGAAUUUUUUUUAAUUUAUUUUUUCCGGUCAAAAUUCUAACUACGUUGUUCUCAUGAAAUGCUUACUAAAAAUACUGUCAUUUAUGUAU
rnacentral:lncRNA from 1 species